CCUACGGGAGGCAGCAGUGAGGAAUAUUGGUCAAUGGGCGAGAGCCUGAACCAGCCAAGUCGCGUGAGGGAGUACUGCCCUAUGGGUUGUAAACCUCUUUUGUCGGGGAGCAAAAGCCGGACGUGUCCGUCUGUGAGAGUACCCGAAGAAAAAGCAUCGGCUAACUCCGUGCCAGCAGCCGCGGUAAUACGGAGGAUGCGAGCGUUAUCCGGAUUUACUGGGUGUAAAGGGAGCGUAGGCGGUUUAGCAAGUCAGAAGUGAAAGCCCGGGGCUCAACUCCGGGACUGCUUUUGAAACUGUUGAAC
rnacentral:rRNA from 1 species